UUGUGAGGAAACGUAAUAUCAUGGUUAGGACACAUAUAUCAAGUGGCCCCCACAAUCCACUAAGAGUGUAUUUAUGGGACUUUACCACUUUAAUUGGGGAAUUUGACAAAGUUAAUAUUUUUAGUAGAUUCAUUCUUGAGAAAAUAGGAGGGCAGCAAUAUAUUUAUGUAGCAAGACAACAUAUUUUCAUCGUAGGAGGAAAAUGAUGAAGCUAGGAAGCAAAACACAAAGAACGACGUAGAAGUUAUGCCACGUCGGUUGCGUAUUUCUAAACAUCGAUUGUUCUUCGGGCUCUAGCGAAUCGAAGGUCACUUCGUAGCAAAGUAAAGUAAUAGGAAUGUUCGAAAGGAGGCAGCCAAGGUGAGAUUCAUCAUCAACAACCUUCUACAAACUCGUACGAGCAUUCAAGAUUAACAUGUGUUGGACAGAUGGAUUCGUGGUAGUUAUUGAAGGGGCGGCAUUCGAGUUAGGUCCUGACAGACAGAUUGGGGGGCCUUCUUAGCAGGAAGUACCAGCUUGGCGUUUCGUCAGCAAGUUCCAUUUGCUCUGGGCUUGCCUGUCUUGGGUAUUUUGCUUUAUUAAUGUUAUAUACGCACUUUUUGGGUACGGCGGGGCCCUAUCCCGACCAGUAUGUUACGAAUGUACUCUUAGAGGCUCAUAGACAGUGUUAUGUAUAUAGGUGUCAUGUUUCAGCCUUGCCGGCCUUAUGAUAUGAUGAUGAUAAUGGCAGCCUUAUCGGCUUGCGUGUAUAUACAUGUAUAUGCCUAUGUGUCUAGCAUCGUGUUGGGCCUUUUCUAUGUGCAGGUGUUCUUUUAGAUGAUAUUUAUGUCAUAUGAUAUUCCGUAAUAGUCACAGGGAAAAUAUGAUGUGUGUACGCCAGGUGGUGCUCGGAAGCUGGAUGCCCGUCAUGCCCUCAGCGGGGGUGUGAUAAAGUAGUGGGUGUGAUAAAGUGGUAGCAGAGCAGGUCUAUCCUAGGGAUGUCUAUGAGCCGUGUCUAGUAGAGUCUUGUUUAUGGGUGUGUAGCGCGCCACACUUAUAAGCAUGAGGCUAUAGGACAUUUAAGGUUGUUUCCUUUCUUUCUCAACCUAGAUCAUGCGAUAUAGCUGAGUCAUAAGAAGUUCUUUCCUAAACUUCCUUAUACGAUACGAUGCUCCCUGCGAUUAAAGGCGAACGAUUCACAAGAUUUUCGAUGGGAGGCUAUGAAAAGAAUGGAGUCACGAGGACUCAAUUUGAACCCAUGUUUAUAGUGAAACAAAUCUAAAGCCUCCAUCAGCCCUUGCGUGCACCUGGGGUGCGAGCCUAAAGUCGGAGCAUCAGGAUGUAAAAUUUUCGCCUUAACUGUGGGCAGGGGGAAAGAGGAAGAAGGACGUUAGUGGGAAAGGUAGGAAGUUCUAAAGGCUGAAAACAAGAUGGAAAAGGCAUAAGGUACAGGAAAAAAAAAAGGAUUUGUAAGUUAUUGAGACUCAAAUGAAGCAAUGCAAGUAUUAUGGCUCCGUUUCCAAUAGUGAUAAGAGCAUAAUUAAUGGCACUCAUUUCAGUUGCAACCCCCGGACUUCGGUGAAGGCGGUUUUAGGAAAGGAAUGGCAGUUCAUAAUCUAGUACGGGUUAUAAAGAUACUAGCAUUGGAAUUAAUCGUUGCAUGGAGUGUUAUUGCCGAAGGAUAUGCUUUAGUCCCUCAUCAGGCAGAUUAAAUGUAUACGCUUAGUGCAUCUAGGGAUGAUAUACUCGGUUGUGGCUAUUGAAAAUAGAAGGCAGCAUAGGGGGCCAGGAAAUUGAAUCGUUGUGCAAGAGAUACAUAAUUGCCUCAAUGUAACUUAUGCCACUAGUAAGGGAAACACAUUAAUAGGCUUGGUUACAGAAAAGCGAAGCUAAAAAACGAAAAGACGUUCUGUUGGAAAUUUGCAUAGUAGGAUAGAACGGUGAGUUUGACAGAGAUGGGCAGGAUAAGGAAACCAUUAGAACCAAAUGCAAGAUGCAGAAAGUUAGAUAUUUUAAUUCUUGCCUAGGGAAUAAGUACUUCGCUCAUUGCGACUUGUAUUCUGAGGAAGAGAAGAUAUUAAACAACUAACGGACAAGCUCGGUUGAGAAGACAAAGGACUAGAACUGAAAGAGCGUUUGCUAAGGAUCCUCCUAGAUAAGGCGAGAUGGUGAAGAUAGCAGGGGCUAGUAGAGUAAGCGAGGUAUUAGGAGUAAAUGAAAGAAACAGGUGAAUGCUUUAAGAUAGGUGUAACGGUGCAUAAGGAGCGUACAACAGAACCACUACCAUUGAAGGUGAUUAAAGGUGGUCGUUAAGACACGUGUCAUGAAUUAAAGUUAAGUUCAUCAGGUUGAGCCGCUAGUUGCAAAUGAAUGGCACCUUGUGCGCGAAGGAAUUCAGUUGUCCCCAGUAAGUUUAUAUAUAGUAGAGUAUGCGUUGAGUAGUGGAUGCAUAAUGAAUUGGUAAAGCAAUAAAGUCGUAAUGUGGCUCUGGGAAAUAAAUCCUUUAAGUGUAAAAUAUUAAUCUUUCUCCCAAGGGGAAAAGGUGGGGUGACAUAACACCGAAAAGGAUUUUGUGUCAAUUGAUGCAAAGCAGCGGGGCAUU